rnacentral:rRNA from 1 species
CGAGGGNNNNNAAUAUCGCCNAUUCCCUUNAGUUGAUAUGGNUCAAACGAACGCUGGCGGCAGGCUUACACAUGCAAGUCGAGCGCCCCGCAAGGGGAGCGGCAGACGGGUGAGUAACGCGUGGGAAUCUACCCAACUCUACGGAACAACUCCGGGAAACUGGAGCUAAUACCGUAUACGUCCUUCGGGAGAAAGAUUUAUCGGAGUUGGAUGAGCCCGCGUUGGAUUAGCUAGUUGGUGGGGUAAUGGCCUACCAAGGCGACGAUCCAUAGCUGGUCUGAGAGGAUGAUCAGCCACACUGGGACUGAGACACGGCCCAGACUCCUACGGGAGGCAGCAGUGGGGAAUAUUGGACAAUGGGCGAAAGCCUGAUCCAGCCAUGCCGCGUGAGUGAUGAAGGCCCUAGGGUUGUAAAGCUCUUUCACCGGUGAAGAUAAUGACGGUAACCGGAGAAGAAGCCCCGGCUAACUUCGUGCCAGCAGCCGCGGUAAUACGAAGGGGGCUAGCGUUGUUCGGAAUUACUGGGCGUAAAGCGCACGUAGGCGGACUAUUAAGUCAGGGGUGAAAUCCCGGGGCUCAACCCCGGAACUGCCUUUGAUACUGGUAGUCUCGAGUCCGGAAGAGGUGAGUGGAAUUCCGAGUGUAGAGGUGAAAUUCGUAGAUAUUCNGAGGAACACCAGUGGCGAANGCGGCUCACUGGUCCGGUACUGACGCUGAGGUGCGAAAGCGUGGGGAGCAAAAGGAUUAAAUACCCUGGUAGUCCACGCCCGUAACGAUUGAAGCUACCCUUGGCA